GCCGAGCUGGCUGGCCCGGCCCAGGCCCUCUCAGGGCUGGGAGGGAAUUUCCUCGGGCUCCCUCCCCCCGGGCUGGGCGAGCGGGAACCUGUGCGGAGGAUUUUAAUUCGAGGAGCGACCUCGGAGUGUGUGGCAGGGCGGGAACUCCAGGAUACCUGAGGCAGCCCCUUGGCCUGUCCUGCCUGGGACGCACCUUGGCCUCCCCCAGGUGGAGGAGGACCCAGGACAAUGGCUGCUGCUCAUGAUUUGGAGAUAGAGGAGGAUGUGACUCUGAAUAUGGAUAGAGAGAUGAAAGAAGAGCUGGAAGAGGAGAAAAUGAGAGAGGGCAGGGCAGAUAAAGACCCCUUCAAGCCUAGAAAGGUCCACAGGAUUGUCUCAAAAUGGAUGCUUCCUGAACCGGUGCGAAGAACAUACCUGGAAAGAGCUAACUGCCUCCCGCCCCCCGUGUUCAUCAUCUGCGUCAGCAUCGCCGAGCUGGCGGUAUUUAUUUACUAUGCUGUAUGGAAGCCUCAGAAACAGUGGAUCACCUUGGACACAGGCAUCUUGAAGAGUCCCUUUAUCUACCGUCCUGAGAAGCGGGAGGAAGCCUGGAGAUUUAUCUCGUACAUGCUGGUUCAUGCUGGAGUUCAGCACAUCCUGGGGAAUCUUAUUAUGCAGCUCAGUCUGGGCAUCCCCUUGGAAAUGGUCCACAAAGGCCUCCGAGUGGGGUUGGUGUACCUGGCAGGAGUGAUAGCAGGAUCCCUUGCCAGCUCCAUCUUUGACCCACUCAAAUCUCUUGUGGGUGCUUCAGGAGGAGUCUAUGCUCUGAUGGGAGGCUAUUUUAUGAAUGUUCUAGUGAAUUUUCAAGAAAUGAUUCCUGCUUUUGGAGUUGUCAGACUACUCAUCAUUAUUGUUAUAAUUGUGUUGGACAUGGGAUUUGCUCUCUACAGACGGUUCUUUGUUCCUGCAAAUGGUUCUCCGGUGUCUUUUGCAGCUCACAUUGCGGGUGGAUUUGCUGGAAUGUCUAUUGGUUAUACCGUGUUCAGCUGCUUUGAUCAGGCACUGCUGAAAGAUCCAAGGUUUUGGACAGCGAUUGCAGCUUAUUUAGCUUUUGUUUUAUUUGCUGUGUUUUUCAACAUUUUCCUAUCCCCAGCGAACUGACUUGCCCCUAACACAAACCAAUGAAUAAAAAGGGCCAUCUGUGGGGAAAAAAAUCAAAACUGG
rnacentral:lncRNA from 1 species